rnacentral:rRNA from 1 species
GUUGAACGCUGGCGGCAGGCCUAACACAUGCAAGUCGAACGAGUGGCGGACGGGUGAGUAAUGUCUGGGAAACUGCCCGAUGGAGGGGGAUAACUGCUGUAAACGGUAGCUAAUACCGCAUACCAUCGGAUGUGCCCAGAUGGGAUUAGAUAGUAGGUGGGGUAACGGCUCACCUAGGCGACGAUCCCUAGCUGGGCUGAGAGGAUGAACAGCCACACUGGAACGGAGACACGGCCCAGACUCCUACGGGAGGCAGCAGUGGGGAAUAUUGCACAAGGGGCGCAAGGCUGAUGCAGCCAUGCCGCGUUGAUGAAGAAGGCCUUCGGGUUGUAAAGUAAUGUCAGCGAUGAGGCGGUACUCGAAGAAGAAGCACCGGCUAACUCCGUGCCAGCAGCCGCGGUAAUAC